GGUUGGUAGCAGCUAUUCCACCCUCGGGUCCACCCAGCCUCGUCCAAAGCCCAGCGCUCUUCUCCAUCUGUCCCCUUCCUCCCACAUGAUGUUUCAGCCUCCCGGUUGCAGGGCAAAUCACUGAAACUGUCUGGACCUCAGUUUCCUCAUUUAAAGGAAGGGGAUGGACUCAUCUCUAAGACUCCUUUCCAGCUCUAAAUCAAAGAGCCUACAAUUGAAACUCAAGAUAAGGGAGGUGCAAAGAGCAGCAGGCUAUCAGUCACCAGACCUGGACUGACCCCAUCCCAAGCUCCACAUCAGUUCCCCUGGAGCUCAGAGGCCCAGCUUCAUGGCAUACCUUGGCAGGAACCAGAGAUCUGCUAGCAACUCCCUACACAGGCCAGUAAUAAAUGCCUAUUGGUUGAUUGCUUGAUUGAGCCCUUCCAGAACUGACCAACUGUGUUUAAGGAGAACUCAGAGAUCCUACAAGUAGGAAGAACUUCUCAUGAUUGGCUAAGGGCUGCCCCCCAACAGACAGAUGCCAAGGUGAGAAUGUGCCUCAAUUGUUCACUGGGUGUGAAUGAGGUCUGGACUCCUGGGUGCUACAGAAGUCUGUUUGGAUUGGCAGAGGGACUCAGUUACACUCUCUGGGGCUUGGAUAAAACCAGGAAGCUGGCUGGAACCAGAGAUUCAAGCAAGCAGCAGGCCAGGAAAGAGCAUUCCAGCCAAAAGGUUGAGAGAACAAGGAACCUUGGUCUCCUCCUCCAGAAGACUCUGGACUUCCCAUCUUCUCAUCGGAGUCCUAGCAGCAUGGUCAAAACAAGUGAUGGCUGCAUCUCCAUCUGGAGCCAAGAACAACCUGAGAUGCAGAUUUGAGCCUCUACAAAGGGCCCCAAAGGAAAAAACCUACACUAUGCCUAAGGGGAUCUUCACCAGCACCCAUCAAGUGAGUGGAGGGAAGAAACCUCCAAGAAGAGAAGAAAAGGACUUCCAGGAGCCUUGAAUUGCCCCUUUACCACAAAUAUGCUCUAAGUUUGAACCUGCUUUCCCCUGAGCUUUGAAUGUACUGAUGGGAAAAUGUUUCACAGAUUUGUAGGGGGAUGUUUCAUCUUAAUUGUUCCUACUCUACAACACCAAGUAAA